rnacentral:misc_RNA from 1 species
GAUGAAGAACGUAGCGAAAUGCGAUAAGUAAUGUGAAUUGCAGAAUUCAGUGAAUCAUCGAAUCUUUGAACGCACCUUGCGCCCUUUGGCCAUUCCGAAGGGCAUGCCUGUUUGAGUAUCAUGAACACCUCAACUCUUCAUGGUUUUCCAUGAUGAGCUUGGACUUUGGGGGUCUUGCUGGCCUGUGGGUCGGCUCCUCUAAAAUGAAUCAGCUUGCCGGUUUUUGGUGGGCAUCACAGGUGUGAUAACUAUCUACGCUUGUGGUUUUCCACCAGGGUAACCUUCAGCAGUGGAGGUUCACUGGAGCUUACAAAUGUCUCUCCUCUGUGAGGACAGCCCUUUGAAUGUUUGAUCUCAAAUCAGGUAGGACUACCCGCUGAACUUAAGCAUAUCAAUAAGCGGAGGA